rnacentral:rRNA from 1 species
GAUGAACGCUGGCGGCGUGCCUAAUACAUGCAAGUCGAGCGAACGGACGAGAAGCUUGCUUCUCUGAUGUUAGCGGCGGACGGGUGAGUAACACGUGGAUAACCUACCUAUAAGACUGGGAUAAAUUCGGGAAACCGGAGCUAAUACCGGAUAAUAUUUUGAACCGCAUGGUUCAAAAGUGAAAGACGGUCUUGCUGUCACUUAUAGAUGGAUCCGCGCUGCAUUAGCUAGUUGGUAAGGUAACGGCUUACCAAGGCAACGAUGCAUAGCCGACCUGAUAGGGUGAUCGGCCACACUGGAACUGAGACACGGUCCAGACUCCUACGGGAGGCAGCAGUAGGGAAUCUUCCGCAAUGGGCGAAAGCCUGACGGAGCAACGCCGCGUGAGUGAUGAAGGUCUUCGGAUCGUAAAACUCUGUUAUUAGGGAAGAACAUAUGUGUAAGUAACUGUGCACAUCUUGACGGUACCUAAUCAGAAAGCCACGGCUAACUACGUG